rnacentral:rRNA from 1 species
GCAGUGGGAGCCCCACCACUAAGCCAGUGGUGAACUCCACAUCCGCAUCCUUUGCUGAGGAUACGGUUAACGGAGCGAAAGCGACGUUCAACCGCAAAACAAGCAGAGGGGGCUUAGUGGUGGGGUGACUGCGUACCUUUUGUAUAAUGGGUCAGCGACUUAUAUUCUGUAGCAAGGUUAACCGAAUAGGGGAGCCGGAGGGAAACCGAGUCUUAAUUGGGCGUUAAGUUGCAGGGUAUAGACCCGAAACCCGGUGAUCUAGCCAUGGGCAGGUUGAAGGUUGGGUAACACUAACUGGAGGACCGAACCGACUAAUGUUGAAAAAUUAGCGGAUGACCUGUGGCUGGGGGUGAAAGGCCAAUCAAACCGGGAGAUAGCUGGUUCUCCCCGAAAGCUAUUUAGGUAGCGCCUCGUGAAUUCAUCUCCGGGGGUAGAGCACUGUUUCGGCUAGGGGGCCAUCCCGGCUUACCAACCCGAUGCAAACUGCGAAUACCGGAGAAUGUUAUCACGGGAGACACACGGCGGGUGCUAACGUCCGUCGUGAAGAGGGAAACAACCCAGACCGCCAGCUAAGGUCCCAAAGUCAUGGUUAAGUGGGAAACGAUGUGGGAAGGCCCAGACAGCCAGGAUGUUGGCUUAGAAGCAGCCAUCAUUUAAAGAAAGCGUAAUAGCUCACUGGUCGAGUCGGCCUGCGCGGAAGAUGUAACGGGGCUAAACCAU